UUCCUGCUUCCACAAUCACUAGCUAAAUGUGACAUCAUGCAUAUAUAUAUAUAUAUAUAUAUAUAUAUAUAUAUAUAUAUAUAUAUGCAUGAUGUCACAUUUAGUUAGUGUUCAUGAAAGCAAUAA